GAACGCUAGCUACAGGCUUAACACAUGCAAGGUCGGAGGGGCAGCGAGAAGAAGCUUGUCUUUCUUUGUCGGCGACCGGCGCGACGGGUGAGUAACGCGUAUCCCUAACCCUUCCCCUUAGGUAGGGCAUACGCCCGGCGAAAGUCGGAUUAAUACCCUAUGUUAUCCGAAGAGGACACCUGAAUUGGAUUAAAGAUUUAUCGCUAAGGGAUGGGGAUGCGUCUGAUUAGGUAGUAGGCGGGGUAACGGCCCACCUAGCCUACGAUCAGUAGGGGUUCUGAGAGGAAGGUCCCCCACAUUGGAACUGAGACACGGUCCAAACUCCUACGGGAGGCAGCAGUGAGGAAUAUUGGUCAAUGGACGAGAGUCUGAACCAGCCAAGUAGCGUGCAGGAUGACGGCCCUAUGGGUUGUAAACUGCUUUUAUACGGGGAUAAAGUGAGGGACGUGUCCCUUUUUGUAGGUACCGUAUGAAUAAGGACCGGCUAAUUCCGUGCCAGCAGCAGC
rnacentral:rRNA from 1 species